rnacentral:rRNA from 1 species
AGUGAACGCUGGCGGUAGGCCUAACACGUGCAAGUCGAACGGCAGCACAGUAAGAGCUUGCUCUUACGGGUGGCGAGUGGCGGACGGGUGAGGAAUACAUCGGAAUCUACUUUUUCGUGGGGGAUAACGUAGGGAAACUUACGCUAAUACCGCAUACGACCUACGGGUGAAAGCAGGGGAUGUUCGGACCUUGCGCGAUUGAAUGAGCCGAUGACGGAUUAGUGAGUGGGCGGGGCAAAGGCCCACCAAGGCGACGAUCCGUAGCUAGGCUGAGAGGAUGAGCAACCAAACUGAAGCUAGAACAGGGCCAAGACUCCUACGGGAGGCAGCAGUGGGGAAUAUUGGACAAUGGGGGCAAGCCUGAUCCAACCAUACCGCGUGGGUGAAGAAGGCCUUAGGAUUGUAAAGCCCUUUUGUUGAGAAAGAAAAGCAGCAGGUCAAUACCCCGCUGUUCUGACGGUACCCAAAGAAUAAGCACCGGCUAACUUCGUG